rnacentral:rRNA from 1 species
CUACGGGCCGCUGCAGUCGAGGAUCUUUCGCAAUGGGGGAAACCCUGACGAAGCGACGCUGCGUGGAGGAUGAAGACCUUCGGGUUGUAAACUCCUGUCACCUGGGAAGAAAAGUGUGCCUGCAAAUAGCCGACACAUUUGACGGUACCAGGGGAGGAAGCCACGGCUAACUCUGUGCCAGCAGCCGCGGUAAUACAGAGGUGGCUAGCGUUGUUCGGAAUUAUUGGGCGUAAAGCGCGUGUAGGCGGCUGUGAAAGUUCGGUAUGAAAUCCUUCGGCUCAACCGAGGAAGGGUGCCGAAAACUUCACGGCUAGAGUACGAGAGAGGAAAGCGGAAUUCCCGGUGUAAGAGUGAAAUCUGUAGAUAUCGGGAGGAACACCAGUGGCGAAGGCGGCUUUCUGGCUCGAUACUGACGUUGAAAUGCGAAAGGUAGGGGAGCAAACAGGAUUAGAUACCCGCGUAGUC